UCGGUUUUGGUUCACGUCCCGCGUUCGCGAGGCGACCCAAGGCC
rfam:Nocardia seriolae N-2927 DNA, contig: contig00034.